AGUGAACGCUGGCGGUAGACCUAACACAUGCAAGUCGAACGGCAGCACAGUAAGAGCUUGCUCUUACGGGUGGCGAGUGGCGGACGGGUGAGGAAUACAUCGGAAUCUACUUUUUCGUGGGGGAUAACGUAGGGAAACUUACGCUAAUACCGCAUACGACCUACGGGUGAAAGCAGGGGAUCUUCGGACCCUGCGCGAUUGAAUGAGCCGAUGUCGGAUUAGCUAGUUGGCGGGGUAAAGGCCCACCAAGGCGACGAUCCGUAGCUGGUCUGAGAGGAUGAUCAGCCACACUGGAACUGAGACACGGUCCAGACUCCUAAGGGAGGCAGCAGUGGGGAAUAUUGGACAAUGGGCGCAAGCCUGAUCCAGCCAUACCGCGUGGGUGAAGAAGGCCUUCGGGUUGUAAAGCCCUUUUGUUGGGAAAGAAAAGCAGCAGGUUAAUACCCCGCUGUUCUGACGGUACCCAAAGAAUAAGCACCGGCUAACUUCGUG
rnacentral:rRNA from 1 species